GCCUCCGUGAAGUUGGAUUCGCUAGUAAUCGCGCAUCAGCCAUGGCGCGGUGAAUACGUUCCCGGGCCUUGUACACACCGCCCGUCAAGCCAUGGAAGCUGGGGGUGCCUGAAGUUCAUGACCGCAAGGAGCGACCUAGGGCAAAACCGGUGACUGGGGCUAAGUCGUAACAAGGUAAC
rnacentral:rRNA from 1 species